UUUUAAAUCAGCAUCAGUUUAAUUAUUCACAACCCCCCAAAAAAAACAGAAAGAAAAAAAUAUUUAACAAUCUACAGUCAUCAGUAUUCUUAUACAAUUCCUCGCCAUUGGAACAGAUAAAUCCAUCUACACGUUAUUUCCCUCUGAAUAAUAUUAAUGCUAGUCUCUAUUAAGACGUCUCCCUUGUGCUUCUUCUAAAACACUGUAAGACUAUUAUUAUUACUGCCAUCCUCUCUGGGACGUGUCUUAGUUGGGAUUUGAAAAGCUCAUCAUUCACAGAAUCAUCUCCAUUUGAAGGGAAGCUGUCUGGUCGGACUGACUCAACGUCAACUGAAGCCAUCAGGAAGCUUUUACACGGUCAGUAGAAGGUAAGACUCGACUACAGCACUGGUGAUACAGAACCAAAGAGUAGGACGACGACAUGUCUGCAGGUCUUAUUAAUCCUUCAAACCCAGAGUGUGGACAUCUGUGGCACUGAGCUCUAACUCCAGGUCAACCAAUCACAGGCCCUACAGGGACAAAGAGUCUGUGGUUGGGUGUUGUAGAUUAACAAGGUCUAGUAAGGCAGACCUUUAGAAACCACUUAGAAUGGUGAGUCAAUCAUUUCUUCAUGUUUCUAGACAUGUUGCCAGAUUUGGUUUCUUAUCCAUCCAAAUGGAACGCAAGCGUGACCUGAAUUUCAAGAAAAUCACCAACUGAGAAAAUGAAUCAACUCUUCCCUUUAUUCUCUACCAUUUUAGCCAAUAUUAGGAGUUGGGUGGUUGGUGAAGGUCAACACUAGGCGGCACAAAGUUCCCCGUCUGUACUAUAAAACCACUGCAGAAGAGGACACAACGAGAUGAUGAACUGCUGGCCAAAGAUUAUAGACAACAUGAUGCCAUUUCUGCUUGUAUUAAUAUGAGAAAGGUGAAGGUUGAGAAAUAUCCAAUCCAACCAGCCACUGGACAUUUGAUUCCUUUAAGCUUCAGGGGUUGCCUCACUAGAAGAUGUUAACUCUGACUUCUGUUGUCCGGGUCUGUAGCUGGGAACAUUUUGAGUUUGCC
ensembl:lncRNA